rnacentral:rRNA from 1 species
AUUGAACGCUGGCGGCAUGCCUAACACAUGCAAGUCGAACGGCAGCACAGCCGUAGCAAUACGGUGGGUGGCGAGUGGCGGACGGGUGAGGAAUGCAUCGGAAUCUGCCCGAUCGUGGGGGAUAACGCAUCGAAAGGUGCGCUAAUACCGCAUGAGAUCGAGAGAUGAAAGCGGGGGACCGCAAGGCCUCGCGCGAUCGGAUGAGCCGAUGCCGGAUUAGCUAGUUGGCGGGGUAAAGGCCCACCAAGGCGACGAUCCGUAGCUGGUCUGAGAGGAUGAUCAGCCACACUGGGACUGAGACACGGCCCAGAGUCCUACGGGAGUCAGCAGUGGGGAAUAUUGGACAAUGGGCGCAAGCCUGAUCCAGCAAUGCCGCGUGUGUGAAGAAGGCCUUCGGGUUGUAAAGCACUUUUAUCGGGAGCGAAAAGCGGACGGUGAAUACCCGUCCGUGCUGACGGUACCCGAGGAAUAAGCACCGGCUAACUUCGUGCCAGCCGCCGCCGUAACAC